CCAAGCAAGAUCACUACCGAGACAGCUGAUGUUGUCAUGAGUACCCAAAACAUAACCACACCUACAGAGCUUUAAAAGCAAAUGCUGUCCUUCUGAAAGUAACUCUAGACUAGAAAUAAUGAUUCAUUCUCCUCCUCUGUGGACUGUUCCCACCCCUCUCUGAAGAACAUGUUGAACUUCAGUAAGACAGAAUUGUGAGUUGGAAAGGAACUGAAUUCCUGACUUGAUCCUACCAUGAGUACCAAGCUCUUCUGGUCUGUCAUCAUUUAUUUCCUGGGAACAGGUCCCAUGGAUGCUAAGGAUGCAAGAAUUACCCAGAGCCCAAGACACAUAGUCACAAGAAUGGGACAGAAAGUGACACUAAGAUGUGAACAGAAUUUGGGCCAUGAUUACAUGUAUUGGUAUAGACAAGAUCUGGGCCAAGGACUCCAACUCAUUUAUUACUCUACAUCUGAAAAAAACUUUCAGGAAGGAGACAUUCCUGAGGGAUACAACGCCGCUCGAGAAAAGCCAGAGCUUUUUUCUCUUACUCUGCCAUCAUCCAGAAUCAACCAAACAUCAUUGUAUCUCUGUGCUAGCAGUAGAGACACAGUAAGGCAAAGUUCCAUGGAUGCCAAAGAUGCCAGAAUCAUCCAAACUCCAAGAAAUCUAAUCACAGGAAUAGGACAGACUGUGCACCGAAUUGUGAAGAGAAUUUGGGACCUGAACGCAUGUACUGGUACCGCCAGGACCAGGGCCAGGAGCUUCAGCUCAUUUAUUUCUCCAUAACAAGAGGAAACAAAG